CUAUCUCUACUGGUUGGCACAACCCACGUAACCCUUUGCCAAGGUUUCUAGGUGGUUGCUGCAAAAUGAGCUCUGGCUCUCUCACUACUUUCCUCAAAACAGAAACAUGAAACACGUCAUAGAAAUCUGAUAACUCUCCUGAUAAAUCUAGUCGGUAAGUAACUGCUCCAAUCCGCUCCAAAAUAGGAUAUGGUCCCAUAUAUCUUGGUUUAAGCUUCUUUAGCUUCCGAGUCUUAGAUGCUCCCUGAAAUGUCCUCAUUUUCAGGUAUACCAGGUCGCCAACCUGAAACUCCAAAUCUCUUCGCCGUUUAUCUGCAUAACUCUUCUGACGGUCAUGGGCUUCCUUAAGCCGCAUCUUGAGCAUCUCAACCUGUUCGACUGUUUCUUGAACCAUGGCUGGUUCUAUCUCACGUCGCUCUCCCACUUCCGUCCAACAAAGUGGUGUGCGACAAGGCCUACCAAAUAGAGCCUCAUAUGGUGCCAUCCCAAUACUCGAAUGAUAGCUGUUGUUGUAGGCAAACUCGGCUAGAGGUAGAUAUUUCACCCAACUACCUUCCCAAUCUAAAACACAAGCUCUGAGCAUAUUCUCCAAAGUCUGAAUAGUCCUCUCUGACUGACCAUCUGUUUGCGGGUGAUAAGAUGUACCCGUAUGAUCUUUGUCUCAAGUGCCUUCCGAAAGGCUCUCUGAAAUGUAGAUGUGAACUUCGAUUCCCAAUCCGAUACAAUGUUGAUAUCCAUGAAACUUCCCGAACUCAAUAAUGUAGGUUUGCUCCAACUGAUUAGCCCUGAUUAUCUUCUUAAUUACUUAGGAAAUGGGCUGACUUGGUAAGUCUAUCCAUGACUACCCAUGUGGCAUCCUUUCCACAUAUGGUGAUUUAAAAUCCAAUAACAAUGUCCAUAAUCACCAUGCCUCAUUUCUACUCCGGCAAAAGCAAGCUCAAAAAUAACAUGAUAGAUGACUGAUCCUCUGUCAUUGCCAUAUAACAUGUCUGGCACGGUGACGCAAUGUAGUUACAAACAUCUUCAUACUACACCAAUUAUAGUUAACUCCUCGUAUCUUUGUACCCUUUGGUCUUCCCGAUGCGUAGAGAAACACGAGUGAUAUGUUUGUUGUAAGAUUCCUUUUCUUAACAACUUAUCGUCCAACACACAAACUCGGUUUCGGUACAAGUAUCUCCUGCUCAGAACUGUAUGAUAUCCAAUACUCUCAAUCUCGAUCUGUUCAACCAAAUCCAAUGCUAACUUGUGCUUGCGUAUCCUCCAUAGCAAAACCGCAUGCUCCAAAGUCCCAAGGACAUCUGUCCCCCCAUUGACAGUAAUGGCACCCAACCUGAGACUAACAAAUCUCCCAGUAAACUUAUGAACCUUCUUGGUUCCCGAGAUACAGCUCAUACGCCUACCCAAGGCAUUUAUCACCUGGUUGUCCUUACCAGAUAGUAUGCGAUAUCCAAACUAUAGUUUGCUACAAACUCAAUCCAACUGCACUGCCCAAGUGCAAUUUUUAAUCAGUGGAGAUAAAUAUCAUACUCUAAUGAUCCCAUAGAAUCUGGACUUCCUUUCUGUACAAUCACGAUCUCCAAAACUAUAACGCAAAUACCACUACAGCCUCUCUGGCGUGAUGCAUAUGAAUGACUUAAUCCUCAUACCUUAAUUUAAAUUCAAUCCAGUAUCUGACACAUCACAGUAAGCCUCAGCCUCAGUAGAACCCAAAACUGGUGUCUUCAUUAGUUGUGCUUCAAUUCAGUGAAACUCCUCGAACAAAAAUCUAUCCAACCUCACUUAACGUCUUUACAUGUAGACCGCGUCUUUAACAUUACUAUACCGGUGAAACCCUUGAUGAACUUCCAGUAGUACACUAUUAACCCAAAAAGAACGGCAGAUCUUUGUAGCGCUCUUAGGUUUCGACCUUCCCGAAACGGUAUUAAUCUUCUUUGAAUCCAUCAAAAUUCUGCUGCCAAAACCAUGUUACCCAAAAAUACAACAUUCCUCUGCCAGAAGCUACACUUCCUCAACUUAGCGAACAACUGAUGCUCUCCAGGCUUAUCCAACGCAACCCGCGAAAUGCUCACAAAUCUCCUUUCUACUCCAAAAUAAAUCAGGAUGUCAUCGAUGAAUACAAUCGCACACCUAUCCAAAUGUUCACGAAAACGUCAUUCAUAUCUUCAUGAAUGCAACAGUGCCUUUGUCGACCCAAAUGGUAUCACUACGAACUCGUAAUAUCCAUGACGGAAAUCUGCAUUCCGUACAUACUCCUCAGCUAUAGCAAUCUGAUGGUAUCUUGAUGCCAAGACAAACUUCGAGAACGAUGAACCUCCAUUAAGCUCUUCUAACAGCUCGUCGAUACGAUGGUUACCAUGUUCAAGUCUAUGUAGUCGAUACAAAAUCUGAAACUCCCACAUUUUUUUUUUUUUACAACAACAAUGAUGCUCCCCAUGGUGAAGUACUCGAUCUGAUAAAUCCCUUAUCAAAGAGUUUCUCCAAUUGCUUUCUCAACUCAGUCAUCCCUGCUCGUGAUAGACGAUAAGAAACUCGUGAAACCAGUGCUGUUUGCUCCAAACAAUUCGCAAGAGUAUCUCAUGUGUCUUGUAGUGGCCUUUCCAAAUGUCACAAAUAUAUCCUCAUACUCUGCAAUAACCGGAAGAUCCUGCAGCACAUGCUGUCCAUCAUCCUUAACCAUUGAAAUGGUAGCCAAAAAUCUCUCUGUUCUUAUAUCCCAUAACUCCUCAGCAUGUAGAAUUCAUGCAAUAAAAACAUCCAUUUGCUCCAGCAAUAGGAACUCUUGCCCUCAAAAAAAUACAACACUACUCGAUGCCGCGACAGCCAAUCCAUCCCAAGGAUAACAUCGUAAAACAUAGCUCCAUCUCUGAUGACUAUCCGAACAAAUCGGCCCUCCAAGCAUAACUGGUACACUGCAUUGAAUAUAAAUAGCUCUCAACAUCCUAUGUCAGCUGUCCGAACUGACACAUCUCUGAAACGAUCAACAAUGCCAAAAACUGGCAAACAUACCAAAGUGUAACUCCAACACCCACACAACGCAAGCUGCUGCACCCCAAUUCAAAAGCGAUCUCCACGAGUUCACAAAACAAAUAUAUCUCCAAAAUAGUCAAUAUACUCGUACACACAACAACACAUGCCAACCAAUGGCUCAUACCACACACCACAUAAUCUCCAGUAACAAAACUCGUGGAACGAUUGCUUGAAGUGGGCUGGUGGCAGAAAUGUCACAUAUCCACUCCUGGAUAGCCUCGAAAUCAUGACCGAAGAAACUGAUAACUCCCGAGAAAACUGGCGAACUUGGACUUCACGCAACUGCUGAACAUCUGUCGAGAACCUUGAUAGUCGAAGGACGAAUGACGAUGAUUUUACUCAUCGUCAUAGAAAGAGACAUUUGAGUUAGUAAUUACUGGACAGAAUGGUGCUAAAAGAAUUUCCAAAUGUAUAAAUAAAUAUAUAUAUAUAUUUUUUAAGUUGAAAACCGAUGAAAACCGAAUCCCCUGACCGCCAUCCCGGACGGAACCGGGAUGGAACCCGCUCUGAUACCAAAUUGUGACACCCGUCACCUCCUAUAUGGAGGACAGCGUGUCACCCCCGACGCGUCAUCAUACAACAAUGUGACACCCGUCUCCCUGACACUAAGGACGACGGGCCACCAACAAUAUCCCGUAAUAUAAAAGCCCAUAAACCCGACAACUCUCACCCAUGCCCAAAUAAAAUCCGAAAGAAAAGUCCAAUAGCACCAAGUCCGUCCAAAUAUCACAUACUUGUUUGUCUCACCUGAAAAGGGGAAGAGUGAGGGGUAUCCCAAGGACAUCUGUCUCUCCAUUGAUAGUAAUGGCACCCAACCUGAGACUAGCAAAUCUCCAACUCAUGAACCUUCUUGGUUCCUGAGAUACAGCUCAUACGCCUACCCAAGGCAUUUAUCACCUGGUUGUCCUUAUCAGGUAGUAUGCGAUAUCCAAACUAUAGUCUGCUACAAACUCAAUCCAACUGCACUGCCCAAGUGCAAUUUUUAAUCAGUGAAGAUAAAUAUCAUACUCUAAUGAUCCCAUAGAAUCUGGACUUCCUUUCUGUACAAUCACGAUCUCCAAAACUAUAACGCAAAUACCACUACAGCAUGUACCCGUAUGAUCUUUGUCUCAAGUGCCUUCCGAAAGGCUCUCUGAAAUGUAGAUGUGAACUUCGAUUCCCAAUCCGAUACAAUGUUGAUAUCCAUGAAACUUCCCGAACUCAAUAAUGUAGGUUUGCUCCAACUGAUUAGCCCUGAUUAUCUUCUUAAUUACUUAGGAAAUGGGCUGACUUGGUAAGUCUAUCCAUGACUACCCAUGUGGCAUCCUUUCCACAUAUGGUGAUUUAAAAUCCAAUAACAAUGUCCAUAAUCACCAUGCCUCAUUUCUACUCCGGCAAAAGCAAGCUCAAAAAUAACAUGAUAGAUGACUGAUCCUCUGUCAUUGCCAUAUAACAUGUCUGGCACGGUGACGCAAUGUAGUUACAAACAUCUUCAUACUACACCAAUUAUAGUUAACUCCUCGUAUCUUUGUACCCUUUGGUCUUCCCGAUGCGUAGAGAAACACGAGUGAUAUGUUUGUUGUAAGAUUCCUUUUCUUAACAACUUAUCGUCCAACACACAAACUCGGUUUCGGUACAAGUAUCUCCUGCUCAGAACUGUAUGAUAUCCAAUACUCUCAAUCUCGAUCUGUUCAACCAAAUCCAAUGCUAACUUGUGCUUGCGUAUCCUCCAUAGCAAAACCGCAUGCUCCAAAGUCCCAAGGACAUCUGUCCCCCCAUUGACAGUAAUGGCACCCAACCUGAGACUAACAAAUCUCCCA
rnacentral:lncRNA from 1 species